CAGAUGUUUCUCUGUGAAGAUGGAGAAUUCUCACUAUGUCAGAAACCAAACUCCAGUGGUUUACAGGUUUAAUUGGGGUUUAUUAGUGGUUUGCAGUUCUGGUGGCAGGCUGUUUUUGUGAUAUUGCUUGAGCAGUGUUAAUUCUCAUCAGAUGGCAUCUGGUUACCUCCUCACUAGACCAAGUCCUGAGAGGUGAGUACCUGAACACACUAGUGAAAACUGGCCUGUAUUGUUUGGCUGUCAUCUCUUCCCAUGCCUAGCUUGCUUGCGUGACAUGUUAGAUUGGUUGGGUGGCAUGAAACUUUGACAUGAGUGACUCCAUUUUGGAUUCGGUCUUCGGAGGCCUGCAGGCAGGAGUAGUGUCUGAAAACAACAGCCUCACACAAAUCUGACUUAAUGGCCCUGUGAUCGCUGCUUGGGAACCCAUGGAGAGAAGGUAAGUUUUGAGAAAAUCUCAGAGGUGAGUUUGACCUGAUAGUGUGUAGGCUUCCCUUUCUAGUGUUGGGGCAGGAGGAUGUAGAGAGUGAUUCCCUCUUUCCCAGGUUCCUGGGGAAAGAGAUAUGCAGUGGCUAGGGAGGAGAAAAGAGACAGAGGGUGAGAGAGCCAGGGUAAUGAUCCUUAGGUCACCCUCUAAAGCUCUGUGGGCAGAUACCUCAACUAGGGAAGUUUUGCUAUCUUUAUGUGUCUAAGGCAUAAGGCAAAGGAGCUCACAAAUUCACAGGUACUUGGGACAGAAGGAUCAUGGAGGAGGGAGGCUGCUGGCUAGGCCAGAGGGAGCAGGAAACAACAUAGCCAACUGUGCGGCCUGAGAAGCACUCUCAGAAGCCUUAGGUUGGUGGAAACCAGGAUUCUUAAUUAACACUGAAGAAAUAGAACUGAAAGUGUGAAAUAAAGUCAUUUAUUUUGAAAAGUGCAUUUGGUUGAUUUGCUUGGCUUUUUUGCUUUUGUUUUUUGAGACAGGAUUUUUCUGUGUUGCCCUGGCUGUCCUGGGAAGAAAAGUGUUUUAAUAGGAAUUUAAGAACAGGCUGGGGGUUGGUGAAGAAUUAAGGGAAGGACAGCUGUGUAUGUCAAAGGAUGGAAUGGAAUAUGGACUUUCUAAAGAAGAAUCACAGCUAAGUGUCUUAGUGCUCCCUCCCUCCCUCCAACUUUUCCACCCUCCUUCUCUCUCUGUGUAUAGUGUCUUCAAAAAUCCUAGCAGACAGACAGACAGACUGACAAGCAGACAGAAAACUCUUUACUUUGAUCAUGCUUAUCCUCCACCCACAGCUCCUCAGAGAAUGUGACUACCACUAUUGAAGGGAUUUAUGAGAGCUACAUGAGGCAGGACAGUGAUAGGCCAGGGCCAGUGUGUCUUCUGAAAGAUGGUACACAUUUCUACCAAAUAUGUUGUUUCCAGAGGACUAUACCGCGAGGAGGCUCCCAGAAUAAACAACCCCAAAUGAAGAGCUGGGUAUGCAUUGCUUCCUACUUCCCCAUGACAUCCAAGCAGGUGUGGAGAGGAGAAGGAUGAUGUCAUAAAGACAAGAGGAGUCACACAGGCAAAAGCGAGGUUUUUGUGAAUCUGCAGCUUUGACAUCAAAUGUGUACAUAUAUGCCUUCUCUCUCUUUCACUCACACACACACACACACACACACACACACACACACACACACAUACACAUACCUCUGUGUUACCCAACCUUCAAAGCUUACUCCAUUGUGGUUCAGUAAUCCAAAAUUGCUUGAAUAUAGAUCUUUUAUCUAUUUUUGUACCUGAUUUAGCUCCUUGGGAAAGAAGGUCUUGGCUUUUGUUUACCUGAAGAAAAAAAAAUCAGGAAAUGUACAAAUCUUAUCAAAAUUUAACCAGAAAUAUCACUGUGCUUGUAUUCAGGAUAUUUUUCUCCGCGGAGCACCCACCCCCACCACUGGCUAAGCCUGUGUUAAUUGCACACCUCAGACAAAGAUGUUGCGAAUGGUAAUCCCAUCCACACAUGGCUAUCAGGGCUGCCCUCUAGCUCUGUAGAAAAUCCCAUCCACCCUAUCUCGAUGCAGAACAGGUAGUUACUAGAGCCUGGGCCUGAGGGAGAGGGAUGUGAAGCUGCUUUCAGAGCAGGCUUGGCAGGCCUGACCAGCAAGCUCAAUGGCUGGCUGCCCAUCCGAUAGCGGUGACGGCGAAUUCAGGGAAGAGCAUUUGCAGUCCCCAGAUGCCAGAGAUGGAGAAGAGGAGGAGGUAGGAAGAGAAUGUGUCUCUUAGUCUUUGCACCAUCUAAUCUGUCUUACCUGGAAGAACACCUGGAACCUGGAACAAAAGGAACAAAAGGAACCUGGAAGGAACACCUUUCUCAUUAUCUGGAAGGAGUGUGGCUUGUAAAAUGAACCAAGUCUUCAGAAAACAUGAGGUGCUGGCUCAUUCAGCAAAAGAAGCUAUAGGAAGAGGGCCCCAGUAAACUCUCCUUGCCAGUGUACACAGGAAAGACCAGCCUCCCCAGUGCUGACCAGCUGUGGGCAGGCAGGGGUCAGGAGACUCCUGAGUUACCAGCCUUGUGCCUCACCUGCUGAAGGAGAACCUGACCUCCCUCCCCCCACACCUGAUCUUCAGUUAUUGCUGGGAUGGCCCAAGUGCCUCCAACACCCUGGGACUGUUCCCACUUCCCAAUCUGUGCUUUCUCAGAGCACCCAG